AGGCAGUCAGGAAUGAGUGACCAUUAAAGCCAAUCUCGGGGCAACCAUGUGCUGUGUGCACUGACAGUCAACGGGCAUAACGUCACUCUCCCGAAAUACGCGUCCAACAGAACUACAUCCCCCAGAAUUCCCAUCACGCUCUGCCAUUGGUGGCCGGACUUGUCACAAGUGCAUACAGGUGACCAGGGACGCUCCGAACUCCGCUGACAACAUCACAGCCAGCGGGACGAAAACAAUCAGCAGCUGGAGAGCUACGGGAGAGUAGCAGCCAUUCUACUGAAAUUAUAAAAACACACAAAGACGCUUCUUUAAUUUAUAUUUUUUUGCGUAGUAUGUGUGUGAGGGUCCCAGCCGUUCCGCGGACAGUAUCGGAGCGCACUGGUGGAAGAGCCACCUAGUUUCCAGAACCUGACUCUAACUUCGUAUCGUCUGACCUUCAUAGCGGUUUGCAGCCCACCCUCUCCGGGGUGUCUAGAGAUGUAGAGAUCAGUGUGAGGAGCACAGCCCCAUCUUUCCCAGCAGCACUUUCUCACCAAGAGCUUCCUCACUCUCUCGGGCUGGACUGCAGUGCGUCUGCGUCGGCUCGCCCUCCCCUCCCCCCUCGCCCCCCAGCCAUGGCCUCACGAAUAGGGCUGCGGCUGCAGGUAAACACAUUUUGGACUGAUUACAUAGUACACUAUGUAUACAGUAGAUGUAUUAAUUGACUGACUGACUGAUUGAUGGAUGUAUUGACUGCCUGACUGACUGACUGACUGACUGACUGAUUGAUGUAUUGACUGACUGGCUGACUGGUGUAUUGACUGACUGACUGGUGUAUUGACUGACUGACUGACUGACUGACUGACUGACUGAUGUAUUGACUGACUGACUGAUGGAUGUAUUUGACUGACUCACUGACUGACUGAUGAAUUGACUGACUGACUGAUGUACUGACUGACUGAUUGAUGNNNNNNNNNNNNNNNNNNNNNNNNNAUUGAUGGAUGUAAUUUGACUGACUGAUUUGAUGG
rnacentral:lncRNA from 1 species